CCUUUUGUAUAAUGGGUCAGCGACUUAUAUUCUGUAGCAAGGUUAACCGAAUAGGGGAGCCGAAGGGAAACCGAGUCUUAACUGGGCGUUAAGUUGCAGGGUAUAGACCCGAAACCCGGUGAUCUAGCCAUGGGCAGGUUGAAGGUUGGGUAACACUAACUGGAGGACCGAACCGACUAAUGUUGAAAAAUUAGCGGAUGACUUGUGGCUGGGGGUGAAAGGCCAAUCAAACCGGGAGAUAGCUGGUUCUCCCCGAAAGCUAUUUAGGUAGCGCCUCGUGAAUUCAUCUCCGGGGGUAGAGCACUGUUUCGGCAAGGGGGUCAUCCCGACUUACCAACCCGAUGCAAACUGCGAAUACCGGAGAAUGUUAUCACGGGAGACACACGGCGGGUGCUAACGUCCGUCGUGAAGAGGGAAACAACCCAGACCGCCAGCUAAGGUCCCAAAGUCAUGGUUAAGUGGGAAACGAUGUGGGAAGGCCCAGACAGCCAGGAUGUUGGCUUAGAAGCAGCCAUCAUUUAAAGAAAGCGUAAUAGCUCACUGGUCGAGUCGGCCUGCGCGGAAGAUGUAACGGGGCUAAACCAUGCACCGAAGCUGCGGCAGCGACGCUGAUGCGUUGUUGGGUAGGGGAGCGUUCUGUAAGCCUGCGAAGGUGUGCUGUGAGGCAUGCUGGAGGUAUCAGAAGUGCGAAUGCUGACAUAAGUAACGAUAAAGCGGGUGAAAAGCCCGCUCGCCGGAAGACCAAGGGUUCCUGUCCAACGUUAAUCGGGGCAGGGUGAGUCGACCCCUAAGGCGAGGCCGAAAGGCGUAGUCGAUGGGAAACAGGUUAAUAUUCCUGUACUUGGUGUUACUGCGAAGGGGGGACGGAGAAGGCUAUGUUGGCCGGGCGACGGUUGUCCCGGUUUAAGCGUGUAGGCUGGUUUUCCAGGCAAAUCCGGAAAAUCAAGGCUGAGGCGUGAUGACGAGGCACUACGGUGCUGAAGCAACAAAUGCCCUGCUUCCAGGAAAAGCCUCUAAGCAUCAGGUAACAUCAAAUCGUACCCCAAACCGACACAGGUGGUCAGGUAGAGAAUACCAAGGCGCUUGAGAGAACUCGGGUGAAGGAACUAGGCAAAAUGGUGCCGUAACUUCGGGAGAAGGCACGCUGAUAUGUAGGUGAAGUCCCUUGCGGAUGGAGCUGAAAUCAGUCGAAGAUACCAGCUGGCUGCAACUGUUUAUUAAAAACACAGCACUGUGCAAACACG
rnacentral:rRNA from 1 species